rnacentral:rRNA from 1 species
GACGUAGGGCGCGAGCGUUGUCCGGAUUUAUUGGGCGUAAAGAGCUCGUAGGCGGCUUGUCGCGUCGUUCGUGAAAACCCGGGGCUCAACUCCGGGCUUGCGGGCGAUACGGGCAGGCUAGAGUUCGGUAGGGGGAGACUGGAAUUCCUGGUGUAGCGGUGAAAUGCGCAGAUAUCAGGAGGAACACCGGUGGCGAAGGCGGGUCUCUGGGCCGAUACUGACGCUGAGGAGCGAAAGCGUGGGGGAGCGAACAGG